AUACGGAGGGUGAAAGCGUUACUCGGAAUUACUGGGCGUAAAGGACGCGUAGGCGGUUUAGAAAGUCAGAUGUGAAAGCCUAUGGCUUAACCAUAGAACUGCAUCUGAAACUCCUAGACUAGAGUGAGGGAGAGGUCAGUGGAAUUAGUGGUGUAGGGGUAAAAUCCGUAGAGAUCAAUAGGAAUACUCAUAGCGAAGGCGACUGACUGGAACUUUCCUGACGCUGAGGCGUGAAAGCGUGGGGAGCAAACAGGAUUAGAUACCCCGGUAGUCC
rnacentral:rRNA from 1 species